GAUGAACGCUGGCGGCGUGCCUAAUACAUGCAAGUCGAGCGAACAGACGAGGAGCUUGCUCCUCUGACGUUAGCGGCGGACGGGUGAGUAACACGUGGAUAACCUACCUAUAAGACUGGGAUAACUUCGGGAAACCGGAGCUAAUACCGGAUAAUAUAUUGAGCCGCAUGGUUCAAUAGUGAAAGACGGUUUUGCUGUCACUUAUAGAUGGAUCCGCGCCGCAUUAGCUAGUUGGUAAGGUAACGGCUUACCAAGGCAACGAUGCGUAGCCGACCUGAGAGGGUGAUCGGCCACACUGGAACUGAGACACGGUCCAGACUCCUACGGGAGGCAGCAGUAGGGAAUCUUCCGCAAUGGGCGAAAGCCUGACGGAGCAACGCCGCGUGAGUGAUGAAGGUCUUCGGAUCGUAAAACUCUGUUAUUAGGGAAGAGCAAAUGUGUAAGUAACUAUGCACGUCUUGACGGUACCUAAUCAGAAAGCCACGGCUAACUACGUG
rnacentral:rRNA from 1 species